rnacentral:rRNA from 1 species
AACGAACGCUGGCGGCAGGCUUAACACAUGCAAGUCGAACGCCCCGCAAGGGGAGUGGCAGACGGGUGAGUAACACGUGGGAACAUGCCCAAAGGUACGGAAUAUUCUCGGGAAACUGAGAGCAAUACCGUAUGUGCCCGAAAGGGGAAAGAUUUAUCGCCUUUGGAUUGGCCCGCGUCGGAUUAGCUAGUUGGUGGGGUAAAAGCCUACCAAGGCGACGAUCCGUAGCUGGUCUGAGAGGACGACCAGCCACACUGGGACUGAGACACGGCCCAGACUCCUACGGGAGGCAGCAGUGGGGAAUCUUGGACAAUGGGCGCAAGCCUGAUCCAGCCAUGCCGCGUGGAUGAUGAAGGCCCUAGGGUUGUAAAAUCCUUUCGUUGGGGACGAUAAUGACGGCACCCAAAGAAGAAGCUCCGGCUAACUUCGUG